rnacentral:rRNA from 1 species
GAUGAAUGCUGGCGGCGUGCCUAACACAUGCAAGUCGAGCGGCAGCGCGGUCUUCGGACUAGCGGCGAGCGGCGGACGGCUGAGUAACGCGUGGGAACGUACCCCAAAGUGAGGAAUAACUGCCCGAAAGGGUAGCUAAUGCCGCAUAUGGUCGAGAGACGAAAGAUUUAUCGCCGAAGGAUCGGCCCGCGUUGGAUUAGGUAGUUGGUGGGGUAAUGGCCUACCAAGCCGACGAUCCAUAGCUGGUUUGAGAGGAUGAUCAGCCACACUGGGACUGAGACACGGCCCAGACUCCUACGGGAGGCAGCAGUGGGGAAUCUUAGACAAUGGGCGCAAGCCUGAUCUAGCCAUGCCGCGUGAUCGAUGAAGGCCUUAGGGUUGUAAAGAUCUUUCAGUGGGAAGAUAAUGACUGUACCCACAGAAGAAGCCCCGGCUAACUCCGUG